AGAGAAACAGAAACAUGUGAGUGGGAAAAUGGUUUACUGAUUCCUUUCUCUUUCUUUCUCCUUUUUUCUCUUUUUUUCUCUUUCUCUUUUUCUCUCUU
rnacentral:ribozyme from 1 species